rnacentral:rRNA from 1 species
UGGGGAAUUUUGGACAAUGGGGGAAACCCUGAUCCAGCCAUCCCGCGUGUGCGAUGAAGGCCUUCGGGUUGUAAAGCACUUUUGGCAGGAAAGAAACGUCAUGGGUUAAUACCCCGUGAAACUGACGGUACCUGCAGAAUAAGCACCGGCUAACUACGUGCCAGCAGCCGCGGUAAUACGUAGGGUGCAAGCGUUAAUCGGAAUUACUGGGCGUAAAGCGUGCGCAGGCGGUUCGGAAAGAAAGAUGUGAAAUCCCAGAGCUCAACUUUGGAACUGCCUUUUUAACUACCUGGCUAGAGUGUGUCAGAGGAAGGUGGAAUUCCGCGUGUAGCAGUGAAAUGCGUAGAUAUGCGGAGGAACACCGAUGGCGAAGGCAGCCUCCUGGGAUAACACUGACGCUCAUGCACGAAAGCGUGGGGAGCAAACAGG